rnacentral:lncRNA from 1 species
ACACCAUGAUACUAAACCCAGCUGAAAGAGCAUCAAUAUGGGACAUUUGUUGUUACACGAAUGUUUGCUCCUCUUGUAAGUGAGUAGACUCUUUUUUAAGAUACGAUGGUCCAGUAGAUGUUCCAAUUAGUACGUGCCCCCUACAUGUGCAACUAGUACUCUGCCUGCUCACAGUCUUCCAGUCACAUAUGCUGACUGCCCUAGGAACACUUUUGUUGAAUAAAACUUUCAUUUGACCGCAAACACACACACACACACACACACAGUCUUUCAGUGUUAUCUUUUUUCUUCUUGAUCUAAUUCUAAAUAUGCUGUAGAAACUGUUGUUCAACUACUAUAUUUUGUUACAAAGUUCUCCUGUUUUUUCAUCCCGGUUUGCUAGCUUUUUGAACUUCAGUUAUUUUCGUAUCUGACCUGCCAAAUUCUUUUUUUGUAGGAACUCAUCCAAAUACACUCUUUCAAGAUUAAAGCAAAUCCGGCUGUCGCUGCAUCCUCCUGGGACAGAGGCACACUGUGAGGAUGCCCAUCACAGAUCCAUUAUGUAAAAGUAGUAGCGAAUUCCUGCAGCUUUCCCUGCAUAAUGAACCAUCACACACCCAUUUUUUUUGAACUUGAUCAUUUUUUACAUAACUGACACUCACACAGGAAGAAGAGCAACGGAACACAGCUGAAUUCUCACCAUGAACUUGUCUAGAGCCUUUAUUCAGAAGAAAAGAACAACGUGAAGAAGCAGAAUUGUGACCUUACCUACAGGCUACCACGGCAUGAACAUCGCCAGAAGAGAGAGUGGGUGGUUUGCAGGUGACGGACGGAGCCGGAUGCCUGCCGGUAGUCGGGGCAGCGCAAUCAGAGGAGAGAAGAGGUGCAAACCGCGGAAGUUUGUGUUGAGCGCAUCCGGCCGUGUGAAGUACAACCUUGGCGCCGGCGUAGAGACCAGACGGUGUUGGAGGGAGAUUGGCGUCUGGUGGAGGAGUUUGGCCGCAGCGGCGGCCGGCGACGCCCAGGGUGGCGGGAUUCCGGAGGCCGGCGGCGCACGGGUUGGCCGCUAGAUCCAGGUGGCCGGCGGCAAGCGGGUUGGCCGCUGGAUCCAGGUGCCUGGCGGCGAGCGGGUUGUCCGCUGGAUCCCGGAGCCCGGCAACGCGUGGGAUAGUGGCGGGAUCCCAUAGCCAGUGGAGCCUUGGUUGGCGGCGGCUUCCCGGAGCCGGCGGCGGGAUGCGUCGGCGGCGGCAGCUGGGGCUGGCGGGGACGGCAACGCCCAGCGUUGACGGGUGCGACAGCGCCUAGAGUUGAUGGGGGCGGCGGCGAGCGGCGCACUAGCGGUGGGGGUCAAGGCCGAGGCAGGAGAGCCAGAGCGCCGUCGGUUCGUGGCGGUGGUGGAGCAGGGAAACGAGGAUCCCGACGAUGGUGGGGUGCAGGGAGGAAGCGCCGCGACGGCUGGGGAAGAAGCGCGGGGCGGCGGGGGAGGAAACGCUGCGCCGGUGAAGGAGGAAGCACGGGGUUGCGGCGGGUUGUGGGUGCAGGAGGCCGGCGGCGGGGCUCGGGAGGAGUCCGGCUCGAAUCGAUGGAGGUUAGAGACGGGUGCGAACAGGGGAAGGUCGUGUGUGGUUUAUUAGGCCGUUCAGGAAUGUGCUAAUGGGCCGGUC